rnacentral:rRNA from 1 species
GUGAGGAAUAUUGGUCAAUGGGCGGGAGCCUGAACCAGCCAAGUCGCGUGAAGGAAGAAGGAUCUAUGGUUCGUAAACUUCUUUUGCAGGGGAAUAAAGUGCAGGACGUGUCCUGUUUUGUAUGUACCCUGAGAAUAAGGAUCGGCUAACUCCGUGCCAGCAGCCGCGGUAAUACGGAGGAUCCGAGCGUUAUCUGGAUUUAUUGGGUUUAAAGGGUGCGUAGGUGGUUUGAUAAGUCAGCGGUGAAAGUUUGCAGCUUAACUGUAAAAAUGCCGUUGAAACUGUCGGACUUGAGUGUAAAUGAGGUAGGCGGAAUGCGUGGUGUAGCGGUGAAAUGCAUAGAUAUCACGCAGAACUCCGAUUGCGAAGGCAGCUUACUAAGCUACAACUGACACUGAAGCACGAAAGCGUGGGGAUCAAACAGGAUUAGAUACCCGGGUAGUCC